rnacentral:rRNA from 1 species
UAGGGAAUAUUGGACAAUGGGUGAGAGCCUGAUCCAGCCAUGCCGCGUGCAGGAAGAAGGCGUUAUGCGUUGUAAACUGCUUUUGCCAGGGGAUAAAAAAGCUCUGCGGAGCAAAUUGAAGGUACCUGGUGAAUAAGCCACGGCUAACUACGUGCCAGCAGCCGCGGUAAUACGUAGGGUGCAAGCGUUAAUCGGAAUUACUGGGCGUAAAGCGUGCGCAGGCGGUUAUGCAAGACAGAUGUGAAAUCCCCGGGCUCAACCUGGGAACUGCAUUUGUGACUGCAUGGCUAGAGUGCGGCAGAGGGGGAUGGAAUUCCGCGUGUAGCAGUGAAAUGCGUAGAUAUGCGGAGGAACACCGAUGGCGAAGGCAAUCCCCUGGGCCUGCACUGACGCUCAUGCACGAAAGCGUGGGGAGCAAACAGGAUUAGAUACCCUGGUAGUCCACGCCCUAAACGAUGUCAACUGGUUGUUGGGAAGGUUCCUUCUCAGUAACGUAGCUAACGCGUGAAGUUGACCGCCUGGGGAGUACGGCCGCAAGGUUG